AUCGACGAGCCGGAAUUGUCUCUGACUCGGCACCGGUACUUCGACGUGUCGUACGAUCUGGUCGGCUACCGACAGCUGGUCACCGACGCGCUGAACUUCAUCAAUGAACGCAAUGAUUCAACUGCUCUCGCAGCGGAGAUUGUAGACCUCGAGCAGCAGCUCGCCGAGGGUAUGGAUGGCACGUCGGGCUGGCUGCCGGAGUCGGCUCAGUUCGAAGUUGUCACCCUGGAGGAACUGCAGUCUGCUGAUAACUGGAGCUGGACGGCGUUCCUCUCGGCCCUUUUCGACGACGAUCACGCUGUCACGGGCAACGCGACAGUCAUUGUCAAAUCCCCAAAGUUCCUGGAGAAGCUCAUGAAGAUCCUUGAGACAAC
rnacentral:lncRNA from 1 species